rnacentral:lncRNA from 1 species
UCUCUCUCUCUCUCUCUCUCUCUCUCACCCCCUCCCUCAUCCCUUCAUUUCUCCACUUACUGUAAAACAAGGCCUCUUUUUGUCCAGAGCCUCAUCAGACUCACAUGUUUCAGAAGAGAGGGAACGGAUAGGUGGAACAGAGGAAGAAAAGGAGUGAAGGAGAAGAAAGUGAUCUAAGAAAGCUCAGACUCUUGUGGACACUGAAGGCCAGGCUUUUGAGAUCUGAAGUCUAAAGAAAGCUGAGAGGAUUUUAGAUGCAAAUAAUAAUAAGAAGAAGGACGAGAUUCCAGAAGUGGACUUAGAGCUGGAGUUAUAGCUCUUGGAUUUAGAACAUCAGUGGACCAUGGAGAACGGCAAAGUGGAAGAGUAGACCAUGAACAAGGCAAUUAAAAGGUUUACAAGCCAAUGAAACAGUAGCUUAGCCCCGCCCAUUGCAGUGGAAAAAAGACAGCAACCUAGACAUUAGGGCAUGGCAGCACUAGAGCAAGCAAGGCAAAACACGUCUCUUUUUCCAUCACUUGAAGAUAAUUCAGGUCUGAAAGCGUUAAGAAGUGCAAGUGCAAAUGCUGAGGACCUUGAUUACUUGAUUAUCUCAGGCCUAAAAUGCAGACGGACACAUGGAUGAUACAGACUUGCACAUGAUUCAGGUAGAGAAAUCUGUAGCUUCCUUUAGUGCCUCUUUUACUGCUCUCUCUCUCUCUCUAUCUCUAAUGGCUUUCACAUGAUCACAUCCUUGAUUUGUUAGUGUGUGUGUGUGUGUGUGUAGUGGGGACGGUCAUGUAGGCCACCAUUCAAGUAAAUUGAUUCACUUAUCUCCUCAUUUCUGAGGUCACUGAGGACACACACACACACACAUAUAAACACACACAUAAACACACUUAAAUCAUUGCUGUUCAAAUCACAGACAAUGAGUCUUAAUGGCGAGAGUGUGACUGAAUUGUAGCCACAUUUAGCUUGACCCUCUGCUACUAUAAUCACAUUAAAGUACACGUCCUGCACACACACACACACACACACACAAAAACACAUACACACGUGUGCUCCAGAGGAAGAAUCAGAACUUUGUUUAGUGGAGAAGCUGAUUUGUGAGAAGACAGUGACCUUCUGAAAAAUACUCCUUCUGUUCAGCAUCUGAGCAACCUUACACACACACACACACACUCUCACACACACACACACACACACACACACACACACAGACUGCUCAUGAGCUCAUGACUGCGGUAAAGCAUCAGGAGAUGUGUAAGACCUGAGAA